rnacentral:rRNA from 1 species
AUCCUGGCUCAGGAUGACCUUUGGCGGCGUGCUUAACACAUGCAAGUCGAACGGGGGUCAUCAGGCGGAAGUCUUCGGACGGAAGCUUUUUGACCCGAGUGGCGGACGGGUGAGUAACACGUGAGUAACCUGCCUUAUGCUGGGGAAUAACUGUGGGAAACCAUGGCUAAUACCGCAUGUUGUGUCUACAGGGCAUCUUGUGGACAUGAAAGGAGCAAUCCGGCAGAAGAUGGGCUCGCGUCCGAUUAGGUAGUUGGUGGGGUAAUGGCUCACCAAGCCUGCGAUCGGUAGCCGGACUGAGAGGUCGAACGGCCACAUUGGGACUGAGACACGGCCCAGACUCCUACGGGAGGCAGCAGUGAGGAAUAUUGGUCAAUGGACGCAAGUCUGAACCAGCCAUGUCGCGUGCAGGAUGACUGCCCUAUGGGUUGUAAACUGCUUUUAUAUUGGAAGAAUUGCGCUUACGAGUUAAGCGUUUGACGGUACAUUAUGAAUAAGGAUCGGCUAACUCCGUGCCAGCAGCCGCGGUAAUACGGAGGAUCCGAGCGUUAUCCGGAUUUAUUGGGUUUAAAGGGUGCGUAGGCGGAAAUGUAAGUCAGUGGUGAAAUCCUGCAGCUUAACUGUAGAAUAGCCGUUGAAACUGUGUUUCUUGAGUACAUUUGAGGUAGGCGGAAUGUGGUGUGUAGCGGUGAAAUGCAUAGAUAUACCACAGAACACCGAUUGCGAAGGCAGCUUACUAAACUGUCACUGACGCUGAUGCACGAAAGCGUGGGUAUCAAACAGGAUUAGAUACCCUGGUAGUCCACGCUGUAAACGAUGAUUACUGGUUGUUUGCGAUACACUGCAAGUGACUGAGCGAAAGCAUUAAGUAAUCCACCUGGGGAGUACGUCGGCAACGAUGAAACUCAAAGGAAUUGACGGGGGCCCGCACAAGCGGAGGAACAUGUGGUUUAAUUCGAUGAUACGCGAGGAACCUUACCUGGGUUUAAAUGGGGAGUGACAGGCUUGGAAACAGGCCCUUCUUCGGACACUCUUCAAGGUGCUGCAUGGUUGUCGUCAGCUCGUGCCGUGAGGUGUCGGGUUAAGUCCCAUAACGAGCGCAACCCCUAUCGAUAGUUACCAGCACGUUACGGUGGGGACUCUAUCGAGACUGCCGGUGUAAACCGUGAGGAGGGUGGGGAUGACGUCAAAUCAGCACGGCCCUUACAUCCAGGGCUACACACGUGUUACAAUGGCCGGUACAAAGGGCAGCUACACAGCGAUGUGAUGCUAAUCUCCAAAUCCGGUCUCAGUUCGGAUCGAAGUCUGCAACCCGACUUCGUGAAGCUGGAUUCGCUAGUAAUCGCGCAUCAGCCAUGGCGCGGUGAAUACGUUCCCGGGCCUUGUACACACCGCCCGUCAAG